UAAUUUAAUAAAAUAAACCACAACCUAAUUCUAAACCACAACCCUAAUAUCAACUCAACAUAACAUCUUAUAUAAACAGAUGGGCAUACUUCGUUGUAUGCUAAACUGGUUCCUAUCCUAAUUCUAAACCACAACCCUAAAAUCUGUUAUCUUUGACAGAAAAAAACAAAACCAAAAAAAUGCUAAACUGGUUCCUAUCCUGCUUCAUGAAACCAUUCCAAUGCACAUCGCAAACUCAUGACAAGGGAUCACCAAAAAAGAAAGACUUUUCAAAGACCAAAGAACAUUUUGGCAGUCUCCUUGAUGAUCAAUAUAGAUCCAAGUUUGUGGUUUGGAUGGAAAAUAACAAGUUGCAACUUGAAGUAGAUGAUAUUGGGAUUCCAGAUUGCUGCGACCUAAGUGAUUUCGUUUGGAAUCCAAUAUCCCAUACAUGGGUGAAAAACGAUUAUAUUUGAAGAAUUUGGUUAAUGUACUUUUCAUUUGUUUUCUUAUUUAUUGUUUUCAAUUAUUUUUUUUAUCAGACAUUAAUAAAAUCGUUUGUUUCAUAACCAUUAAUCAAGAUCCCAAAAUAUAUCAA